CACGUGCAGGCACUAAAUUAACGUGUGCAGGUGCUAAAUUAAUGUGCGCACGCGUUAAAUGAACACCUAUACGCAUCAAAUAAGUGCGUGCAAAUGUGCUAAAUAAACGGCUGCAAGCCGUCCUGCACACGUCAAAUUAACGCCAACAGCUGCUAAAUAUACACCUACACACGCUAACUUAACGGGUUCUUUAAUUAAUAUGCUAAUUUUACCAGCCAAUUUCCCUAGCUCCUCCUUUCAUUAAAUUAGUGUACAGUCAGUUUGAUGCAACAACACCACAAUUGAAGAUGGCGAGAAGGAACUUACAUAUCCGCUGCAAACUUGAUGCCCUUCAGUCCACGUUAAGAAGCCAGUUCCACUUACCGGGCUCCUCAGACUUGGAGAGGAGCUAGAGGUGCGCCUUGUUAUGCCAUCACUCAAGAGCAACUGAGGUUUCUGAUGUCCUGUGCUUUCAGUGUGUCUCAGAUCGACAGUCAAAUGUCGUCUAAGACUUGGCUCUGGAUGAAAAGAUUAAGGACUUGGUGGUUGGGAACGACAAACGUGGACCGGAGGCUGUUCGAUCACAAUUAAGGGCUCUGGGUUCAGAGACGCAGAGUGAGGGACAGCAUGCUUCGUGUUAAAAGAGCCAUGUCGCAGAGGCUGCAUAGAAGGUCAUGUCGUGUUGCUGGACCAAACUCGUUAUGGCACCUUGAUGGAAACCACAAACUGAUAAGGUGGAGGAUAGUCAUACAUGGUGGCAUUGAUGGGUUCAGCCGUCUCAUUGUUUCUCCGUGCUUCCAGCAACAAUCGCAGCAGUACUGUAAUGGAUUGCUUCAUAAAUGCUGUCUCCAGAUAUGGCGUUCCCUCCAGAGUUAGGACGGACCAUUGAGGAGAAAACAACACUGUCUGCUUGAUGAAUACUACUUCUACAAACGAGGCUACACUUGUGGCAGCACCUAUUCCUGUGGCCCCCCCAUCUUCUGCACCACUUCUUGUGGCCCCCCUCCACCAUUCCCUGAGGCUUAUCGUCCACCUUCACCACACUCUUCUGUUGAUGUUGGUGAUGACAAUGAUGUUGACCUCCAAACACUGCUGAAGUUAAUGAGAUGCCAACCGAAUUAACGUGAUGAGGGACAACGUUUAUGAUUGUGCAAUGAGAGGCUUUAAGAGAGCCCGCUUUAAUCCGGAGGCAAAAAUAGACAUGGUUUUUAGGGAUGGUGACGGAAAAGGGGCAGCUGAUGAGGGUGGUCCCUCAAGAGAAUUUCUCUGGCUGCUAAUGAGUGCCAUCCAUUCCUUUGCAAUAUUUGAGGGACCUGAUUGGCAAAAAUGCCUUUCUUGCAACUCUCAAGCACUCUAUGAUGGCGUAUACAAGCAGGUGGGCCACAUGAUUGCUGUCUGUCUAGUACAUGGGGGUGUAAAGACACAUUUUUUCAGAGGCUAUACAGGCAAGUAUAUGGCCUACAACCUCCUGUGCCAGAAAUGAAAGAAAUGGUGGAAUAUAACUUAAGAGAGAAGUUGGAGAAGGUAAGUACUUUAUACUGUGAUGGAUGCUAUGUUACUGUUCAUUUGCACUAAGUUCGAAAAAAAAUAUUAGGGUUGUAGAUGUUCAUGAAGACUUUUCCACAUGGAUUUGGUUUCCUUUUGUUGGCAGUCAAUGUUUUUUAAGGGUAGUGAUAAUCAGUUUAUUUUGCUAAUUUUUCCCAAAACACUGUUCAAUAAACAAACAAUUUAAGAUCCAGUUAGCACAAACUGUUGACGAGGCACAGGAAGCGGUCGAGUUGGGUCCAGUGCGAUACAUUCGUACAUUGGAGAGGGAUGCCAUGGUGGAGUCAGCCACAAAGUUCUACUUAGAAAGCAGGAUAUGGGAUGCUCUUGAGUAGUGAGUCUCAAGUUUAGUUAAAUUCUUCAGGGUUAAUUCAUUGACUUUUUUUACUUUAUAGAUUCAAAGAGGUCUGGAGUGUCUAGGUCUCCUGCCUUACAUGAAUAGACACUGAAGCCUCUUCAGAGAGUGUUUCAUCUACGCUGAGAAACCUCUUUUGGCCAGACAUAGCUUCUCUCUUCAAAGCAGAGUGCUCUCCACAUGGUACCAAUCAAAGAGCAAUAGAGAGAAGAGUCAUAUGUUUCUGGGGGGACUGGCUUCUGGAGGUGGAAGGUUAGAUGCAAAACCAUGAUCAUUGAAGUAACACGGCCCACAUCAGUAAAACAUCACCUAAUCACUCUCACAACUGUGGGACAGCAUUUUAUAGCCUUAUUCUUCCAUGGUCCCCCUAAGAAUGUAAUGGAUAAAUGAAAUCCCAAACUACCUUCACUUAGAGUAUUGUGCUCUCCAACAAGUGUUACUUAUGGACUUUAAUGACCCCCCCUUCCCUUUUUUUCAGGGGGAACACAUACCCUUCUCCAUGGAGAAGGUUUUCAUUUUCACUUCGGGGGUUUCAGCAUUCCUAGGCUGGGAUUGCCAGUGGAGCCACAGCUACAGUUCUAUCUGCUACCACACAGCAAGUGGUACCGGAGCGCCAAGUCUAUGUCCAAGAGGCUUCUAAACAGAUUCUACCCCCAAGCCAUAAGACUACUGAACAUCUAAUCAAAUGGCUACCCAGACUAUUUGCUGCUACUAUCUAUGCAUAGUCACUUUAAUAUCUCUACCUACAUAUAUAUAUAUUAACUUGACUAACCGGUGCCCCCGAACAUUCCCUGUACCGGUAUCCCCUGUACAGUAUAUAGCCUCGCUAUUGUUAUUUUACUGAUGCUCUUUAAUUAUUUACUCUUUUUGUCGUUUUUUUUAAACUGCAUUUUUGGUUAAGGGUUUUUAAAUAAGCAUUUCACUGUUGUAUUUGGCGCAUGUGACAAAUUCAAUUUGAUUUAAAGAAUUCAUUUAAGGGGAAUUAUCCAAAACGUUUAUUGCAUGACUACCUAGUAAGUUCGGAAUACUGCAGCCAAUGUUAAUUGGUGAUGUGUCCCAAAAGAAUUGAUAUUAUUAAAGUUUCCGACCGGAUUGUCCAUCAGCAAAAAAAGUUGUGCAGUGAAAGUUUUCAAAAACAUUACAACCAACCAGAAUCAAUUGGACACAGUAAUAAAUAAUGCAGAUUUAAUAAAUGUAUGAUUUCUUAGUGGGUAAACUGAGCAUUAUGCAUAGUUAAGUCAUGUAUGUCAAGGGACUGUUACAAUAUGUGCAAUGUUACCAUAAAUAAAUCCUACCGUAAAUAUGUA